GCUCACAUUGGACAGGAACAGGGCGACGGACCCGGCUUUACGUGAUGGACAAGUGCUCUGCGUAGUCAUGAGAGG
rnacentral:lncRNA from 1 species